CCGCUGUCUUAUUGCAGUUGGAAACACUCCCAUCACGACAUUUGCCACAGAUGACCUUGGAGAAGAAAAUCCAACUCCACUUGGCACUCUCAACCUCCAGACCAAGAUCCCUGUCAUUAAAGGGAAUAUUAUGGUCAAGUAUCAGGAGCGAGCCCCUGAGGGGGGGUGGAUCUAACUGGAGGUGCGGUAAGGUGGCUAUUUUUGGGGUCAGAUGAGCCACACUGUGGUCAACAGACCUUCUCAUCAUCAUGUUGUUAGUUUUAUUCCCCACCAGCUUUGCCUGGCCGCUUAUACUCCUUUCACCUUUCCAGCCUGAUUCCCAACCUUGACUUCCCCCAGGGGGUGCCCCUGUACCGUCAGCUAGAGCUCUGGCAGC
ensembl:lncRNA